ensembl:lncRNA
CAGCUGCUCCCCAUCGCGUGCACCAGCGCUUGAGCUCCACCUCCUGUCGGAUCAGUGGUGGCAUCAGAUUCUCGUAGGAGCGUGGACCUUACCAUGAACUGCACAUGUGAGGGAUCUAGGUUGCGGCUCCUUAUGAGAAUCUAAUGCCUGAUGAUCUGCCGCUGUCUCUCAUCAUCCCCAGAUGGGGCCAUCUUGUUACAGGAAAAGCAGCUCUGGGCUCUCCCUGAUUCUACAUUAUGGAACUGGUCACCGUUUUCACCUGGUAGGCUGGACGCUUCGUGGAGGGCUCCAAAGCUGGCCGAUCCUGGGCUUCCUCCGUUUCUCCCAGACCCCGCGUGUUGCAGUGAGAGGAGCAUUUGUGUCUCUGUGGUUUGCUGCUGAAGCUGAUGACCAGAGAGAAGCAAGGGAGACAAGCCUCUCCAGACAGGUGUGGGGCUCAGCCAGGAGGCAGGAGACACAGACCUGCCCCGGGCCAGGCAGGUCACAGAUGCACCACCAGGCACUCUGUGUGGCACUGGGCACAGGAAUUCUGGAAUUCAAUCUGCAAGGGUGGUAGGUGUUGGUGGUCCCCUGGGAGAAGCCUUUUGAGUGGGCGUUGAGCAGGCCGGUAUCUCAUGCCCUGAGGAGGUGCAUGGGCGGCAUAGGCUUUCCACAGAAAUUACGUGGGUAUGCAUGGGUGUGGCUCUGCGCUCACCUGGGGGAGGACUUCUGGCUGGUGCUGGGGCGCUCUGUGUGACCCUGGCAGAAUGGAGCUUCCCCUGACUGAAAGAGGAAGAAGAGCAUGCCAGCCGGGCGCGGUGGCUCAUGCCUGUAAUCCCAGCACUUUAGGAGGCCGAGGCGGGUGGAUCACGAGGUCAAGAGAUCAAGACCAUCCUGGUCAACAUGGUGAAACCCCGUCUCUACUAAAAACACAAAAAAUGAGCUGGGCAUGGUGGCGCGUGCCUGUAAUCCCAGCUACUCAGGAGGCUGAGGCAGGAGAAUUGCCUGAACCCAGGAGGCGGAGGUUGUGGUGAGCCGAGAUCUUGCCAUUGCACUCCAGCCUGGAUAACAAGAGCGAAAUUCCGUCUCUGGCACCCCACCCUGAACUACUCCACCUGGGGACUGCCUCUGGGGGUGGCGGGGUUCUGGCUGACUGCUGAGGCCCUGGGGGUGUGGGUGUGGGGCAUGGGACUUAGGAGGACUGGCCAGGUGGGGCCCACCACAUGCCCACCCCCAGUGUCAAGAGCUUCCCCUCUCCCUGUCCACCUCCUCCUCCUCUUCCUCAUGAUCAUCCUCACUUGUUGAGGACGUCCUGUGUGCCAUGUGGUUUAUAUGCCCAGCCUCAUUUACUCCUCAGAAUGACUCUAUUAGGUAGCUACUAAAACCCCCCACUUAACAGAUGAGGAAACUGAGGCCCAGAGAAGCUCAACCACUUGCCUAAGUUUCAAGUUUCCUCUCUCAAUUCUCCUACCCUCUCCUCUUUUUCUCCUCUCUCCCAUCCUUCCCUGCUUCUUCCUUAACUAGACAAUUUUUUCUUGAGCAUCUGCCAGGUGCUGGGAAGAUCAUGAUGACCCAGCUCCUUCUGAUCCUUUCCUUAACUGGUUAGAGGCCGGAGAACGUGCAAGUUCAGCUCCAGCUGACAAUGGGGCAUUGGUGGCAGCCCCAGGAGAACUUGUGCAGUUUGGCUGUGAGGCUGAAUCUGGCUGCAGGAAAGCAUGUUGCAGUCCGAGUGAUGUCUGGCCUGCUCACGGGCAUGGAGAGGGAGGCCCCUGUGCUGUCUUCUUGUAGACCCUAGACUGAUGGGGCCUCUGAAGCGCAUCCAGACACUGUGUGUGCUGCAUGCCCUCCCAACCAAUUCAUAUUUUUCUCCCCAUUUUCCAGUGAGAAAACAGAAUCUAAGGUUCCUGUUGGAACCCAGGAUCCACAGACCCUGGUUUUCCGUGACGUCAUGCUGCAGGGCACUGUACUCUCUUUGCUUUGGCUGCUGGGGAGCUCGGAAGGGAGCUUUAGGCUUGCUCUCAGUCACCAUAUUAGCUCAGGGGUUUGGGCAUUUUUGUUGCUGGCUCCUUUGGGCUCUUUCUCCUCCCUGCUGAGCUUCCCGGGGAGCAGGCCGGAUGUAAGUUAUCAACUAUAAAUAAAACCAAGACUUCCGUUCUGGCUCUCUCUGCAGUUUCCUGGUGCAUUUUUUUUUAAAGUUCUUAAUCAAGGGAGGGGGUACUGCUAACUGAAGAUGACAUCAGUAUCAGCUGGUCCUGGUGGGGCAGGCCCCCAGCCCCCAGCCCCCAGGCCCGCAUGGGCCCUGAAUGCCCCCAUUAUGAGGGGUAACCUCAUUACACAAGAUGCACUGCAUGGCGGAAUUUCAAAUGGGGUUUUGUGGUUUCUGCCCUUUGCAGCAGAGCACACACAGGCAGCUGCGGUCGCCCGGCUUCCUCUCCCGCCGCAGCCCUGGCGCCUGGCCAGCUGGUGACCACCCCUUCCACCAUGAGUCAGUUUCAUUCUUAACUCUCUGACUCAGGUCCCUUUAAAGGGACAGCAGAGUCCAUUCGUUCCAAAGCAAUGAGGGAGAGAGGAAGAACCUGCCUGGGUGGGGAGGUGGGGUCAAAAGGAAGCUUGGGGGGUCCCAGGCAGGUGGUUGGGUGAGCAGCCCUGCCUCACACCCCAGCCCCAGACACCCAGGACGAAGGGGGCUUUCCUGGCUCUUCCAAGGGAGACGGACUGCAACUUCCCCAAAGCUGACUGUCCGCAAGGCGGGAACCCCUG